rnacentral:misc_RNA from 1 species
GAUGAAGAACGUAGCGAAAUGCGAUACUUGGUGUGAAUUGCAGAAUCCCGUGAACCAUCGAGUCUUUGAACGCAAGUUGCGCCUCAAGCCAUUAGGUUGAGGGCACGUCUGCCUGGGCGUCACAUAUCGUUGCCUGAUGCCAGUUUCCUCGUGAUGGGUGACUGUGCAGGGCGAAUGAUGGCUUCCCGUGAGCAUUGUUGCCUCAUGGUUGGUUGAAAAUUGAGUCCUUGGUAGGGAGCGCCGUGAUAGAUGUUGGUUGAGUGACGAACGAGACCCAAUCAUGUGAGACCCCUACCGAAUUUGGCCUUCAUGACCCACAUGCGUCUUUGGAACGCUCAUGACGAGACCUCAGGUCAGGCGGGGCUACCCGCUGAGUUUAAGCAUAUCAAUAAGCGGAGGA